rnacentral:rRNA from 1 species
CCUACGGGGUGCAGCAGUGAGGAAUAUUGGUCAAUGGACGAGAGUCUGAACCAGCCAAGUAGCGUGAAGGAUGACUGCCCUAUGGGUUGUAAACUUCUUUUAUAUGGGAAUAAAAUGUUCCACGUGUGGGAUUUUGUAUGUACCAUAUGAAUAAGGAUCGGCUAAUUCCGUGCCAGCAGCCGCGGUAAUACGGAGGUUCCGAGCGUUAUCCGGAUUUAUUGGGUUUAAAGGGAGCGUAGGUGGAUUGGUAAGUCAGUUGUGAAAUGUUGUGGCUCAACCGUAGAAUUGCAGGUGAAACUGGCAGGCUUGAGGACAGUAGAGGUGGGCGGAAUUCGUGGUGUAGCGGUGAAAUGCUUAGAUAUCACGAAGAACUCCGAUUGCGAAGGCAGUAUACUGGACUGCAACUGACACUGAGGCUCGAAAGUGUGGGUAUCAAACAGGAUUAGAUACCCUAGUAGUC